UACGAAGGGGGCUAGCGUUGUUCGGAAUCACUGGGCGUAAAGCGCACGUAGGCGGAUUGUUAAGUCGGGGGUGAAAUCCUGAGGCUCAACCUCAGAACUGCCUUCGAUACUGGCAAUCUCGAGUCCGGAAGAGGUUGGUGGAACAGCUAGUGUAGAGGUGAAAUUCGUAGAUAUUAGCUAGAACAACCAGUGGCGAAGGCGGCCAACUGGUCCGGUAC
rnacentral:rRNA from 1 species